rnacentral:rRNA from 2 species
GGCCUGAGAGGGCGACCGGCCACACUGGGACUGAGACACGGCCCAGACUCCUACGGGAGUUCAGCAGUGGGGAAUAUUGCACAAUGGGCGCAAGCCUGAUGCAGCGACGCCGCGUGAGGGAUGACGGCCUUCGGGUUGUAAACCUCUUUCAGCAGGGAAGAAGCGCAAGUGACGGUACCUGCAGAAGAAGCACCGGCUAACUACGUGCCAGCAGCCGCGGUAAUACGUAGGGUGCGAGCGUUGUCCGGAAUUAUUGGGCGUAAAGAGCUCGUAGGCGGCUUGUCGCGUCGGAUGUGAAAGCCCGGGGCUUAACCCCGGGUCUGCAUUCGAUACGGGCAGGCUAGAGUUCGGCAGGGGAGAUUGGAAUUCCUGGUGUAGCGGUGAAAUGCGCAGAUAUCAGGAGGAACACCGGUGGCGAAGGCGGAUCUCUGGGCCGAUACUGACGCUGAGGAGCGAAAGCGUGGGGAGCGAACAGGAUUAGAUACCCUGGUAGUCCACGCCGUAAACGUUGGGCACUAGGUGUGGGCGGCAUUCCACGUCGUCCGUGCCGCAGCUAACGCAUUAAGUGCCCCGCCUGGGGAGUA